CUCUUCUGAAACUCUGAGGGCAGUUUUGUACCCUACCCCAGCUUCCAAUGUGGUGGGAGACCUCAGCAGUGGGAGAGUUGGGCUGCAGAUGCUCUGAUCCUUUGACACCUGGACUUGAGGUGCCUAAGACCCCAAAACGAAAAAUGAAAGUGCUCCCAGCCCCAAGGAGGUUUUUUUUGCAGGGGGUGAAGAUGCAGCUUCUGGGUCAAGAUGUCUCUGGGCUCUCGGCGGCCCAGUGUUUCGUUGGUUCGAAUCCUGGGCGCGGACAUGGCACUGCUCAUCAGACCACGCUGAGGCAGUGUCCCACAUGCCACAAC
rnacentral:lncRNA from 1 species